AUGGAUGCCCCUCAGGCUGCCCGGCCCUCCAGCCAUCCCUCCCUGCUCCAGUUUUUCAGAAGCCUCCUUGGGUACCCACGGAGCUUGCUGGGGGCACAGGAGCCCAGAGCAGAGAAGCAGGAGCAGGGUGCUGCUGUAGGGCCCCACAGCUGGCAGGCAGAGCAGGUUGAACCCACCCAUGGGGGGAUCCAGGAGCACUGCGAGGAUGAGGAGGGGGACAGCAUGGAGCUGCUGCUGGGGGAGCUGCGGGAGGUCAGCCUGCAGGGAUCGCUGGGCAGCAGCACCAGCAGGAGCUGCCUGACCACCAGCACCAGUGACGUGGAAGUGGCAGUGGAGCGCAAUGGGAUGGAGGCUCCUGGUGGCACCGUGACCCUGCAGAGCGAUGGGGCGGCCGGCGAGGAGAGAGGGGCUGCAGAUGAAGCCGUUGGCAGAGCUCUGGUGAUGGAUGAGUUCCUUCAAGGUCUGAGUGCUGCUGAUGAAGACACCUGCUCUGCAAGCCCUGAGCCGAUGUUUUCAAUGGAUCUUGACACUGAAUGGGAGAAAGGGCAUCUCCUGAAAGCAAAGCAGGGCGCAGGAUCCCCGAAAGCAGAGCUGUCCCUGUGGAACAGGUUCAUCAGUGUGAACAGACACCAAUGGACUUUGCGUAAGAGCAGGAGCAAGCCCAGAGGAGGCCAUAGCAGGAGGAGGAUGGGUGUCUGCAAUCCAGACAACAAAGCCUGGGCUCGUGCCUCGAGGAGUUCGAUGGAGCUGGAAAGCGAGGAGCAGCCGCUCCUGCGGGCAGAUGAGAGCAGCCCCACGAGCCCUCAGCUCCCCGUCCUGCCCGCAGAACCCUCUGCAGCACUGCCGGUGUACAGGUUUUCCAAAAGCAGAGCAGCCGCUGGUGGCUUUGGGAGAAGCCAGGCAGAGCUGGGAGCAAACAGAGCAGGAAUGCCUGGAGAAGGCUGAGAUGCAGCACCUGCAGAGGUGGGAGCAGCCCCACGGAGCCACACCGCCACUGCAGGAGACAUCAGUGCUUCCCCUCUGCUGUUCCCAACCUGCCCAGGAGCCCCGUGCUUCAUCUUCCUCCUCUUCUUUCCUUUGUGUUUAUCAUUCAUGUGCACACCACGUUUCCUUGCUGCUUUUUCCCUUUCCUUUUCCUUGGAGAAGGCCCUGCGUGUCUCACCACACCCAUGGGGUGGACAAGUUUGGUCUGAGGUGGUUUCAAUUGAACAUUUUGUGUGAAUGAGCUCUUCUUGCUUCUCCGUCUUUGCUCUCAAGUUCCCUCAUUAAACACAGAAUUCUCUGCUGAAUUCGUUUUUCUCCUUUCUUUCUUUCCUUCCACCUCCCAGUUUUUUUCACGUCUUCCACUUUCCUCUCUGUGGUUUUUAAGGUGUUUAUGGAUUAAUUUUUUAAUUUGGGGGUUAGAAAAGGCAAAGGAGAGGUGUGAUCCUCCGAUCCAUGAUGGUCCCCUGAUUGUUAAAGGUGACAAUCUUGUAUGCAGUGUUGGAGAGGAGUUGGAGGACCCCGACCCUGUAGAGGAGAAGACCCUCUGCUCUUCAUCUUCUGUUUGAGUACAUGGGAGAAACCAUGCGAGCAGGGCUGGAGGAGCUGCUGGCAGCCCGGCUCCUGCUAAUCUGGGAAUUGUAUGCCAGGAAGCACACACCCAGCCGACCUGCCCCAGACAAAGCCUGCCGUGUCCGCACCGGCUCUCCAGGCGUUCCCCGCGCGCCUUGGGUUAUUUCAGAGUUAUCCCAGCAUGGGUUCCCUCCCCAGACUUCCACCUGUGCUGGUUGCGGGGUUGGAGCGCAUUGCUCCCGGCAUGGCUCGCAUGCUCUCCUUCUGCAAAAUGGGGCUGUGCCAUCUAAACUCUCCUGGCCAACCUGAAAUACCAGUGGUGAGAGCGGGAUCCCCUCCCUGCUUGUCUUGCAGGUGUUCACUUUGGACCCUAACGAUGGCAAAUUAACCAGGGCCAUUGUUACUUUCUCUGGGUUGAGCAGAGCUAUUGCGUCAAUAGAAACAUCCCACAUCACCUCUCUGGUAGCAGAACUCUGCGUCCUUGAUGUGUCCUUAGAAACCUUCAGCUCCAAAUAAACUUCUGCGGGAUUUCCUGUAGAAAAGCACUAUAUAAAAUGUGGGUAUUCUUAGCAGUGCCCCUCUGCCAGGUCGUGUGUCACACACCAGCACCGGGCGAGGAGAUGCCAGGAGGAAGGGUUUGCCUCUGCUGAGUCACUUGGGUUACACACUGCCUUGGGAAGCAGCUGCUGUCAUCUGCUAAACGAGGGUUGCCAGAGCUGACCAAGUCAUUUCCACAGCAUUCAAGCAUCCCUGGGUAGGGCAGCCCUCAUCCCUGCACCAUUCCCACUGUGUGGGUGGGAAUUGGAGGGGUCUGCACGGAGCCACGCUUGGCACUGCAUGUGGUGGGUGGUGGGAGUGGGCAGGGUGUGUUCUGCUCUCCUCUAUCAGGGCAGAGCUGGGCCCACCGCCACGGUGAGCAGCUGCACGCUCACGUGGUGCUCCCACAUCCUGCACAACGUAUUUCAAGAGGUGCUAUUUACAAACACCAACACGGUGCUAGAGCAAGUGCUGCAACCUGCACGGCGUGGAGGAG
ensembl:lncRNA